UCAUCCUGGCCCGCUUGCGGAAGACCGCAC
rnacentral:sRNA from 1 species